rnacentral:lncRNA from 1 species
GGUGAGGACUCUGGGCUUGGCCUGAGUGGGGGGCACCAUCCAGUCCCCUCCUGCACACCCCCAGCUCAAAGGGCCACACUGGGCUCCCCAGAGGACCCCCACUGGGUCCCUGAGACAUCAGCAGAGGAAAAGGCAGGGCGUGGGACGUCCCCUCCAGCCCCCGCUCCCGCUGGCCCAGGCCGCCCUGGGAUGGAGCAGGGGAGGCUGGGAAGGCUGGGACCAAGGGGAGAGCACACGGGCUCCCCCGAGUCUCCAUAGCUGUGGCUGAGACAUCUCUGCAGGACGUCUCUCCUCCUUCAAAUUGUGUGUGUCUCAGGGCUGGAAAAGUGACUAUUACAAAACCUUUUCUCUUUGAAGUUGGUUAUUGCAGGCAUUUUGUUCUAGUAGUGGAAAGCUGACUAAAACUGACAAAGCAGGCACAUUGCUGAACUUGUCAAAUUCCCCUGAGAAGGCUUGGGUUCUGCAGCUUUCUGCAGACCAGAGCUCUUCCUCUACCCGGCCAAUGUCAAUUUUCUUGUUUUUCUUCAUCCACCAACUUUUGGCUCCAGAGAGGCCCGUGAAUUACCCAAUAUGCUCGACAGUUGUCUGAACACAGCCGGCUCAUAAACAGAAAACUCAAACACAACAGCAUUGAAGAAUAAGAAAACCAGAGCUGGACAUACACUCCUGAUUUUGCCUCUGUGAAAGUGUAUUUGUCAGGGAAUCUCUGCCCCGUUAGCACUGUGCCCAGCCUGGAAAUCGCUCUGCCUAUGUGAGGUAGCCAGCUCUGGAAGCUUCCAUAGAUGGAAGCAUGGCUCAGUGACCCGCAUCUGUCCUCUGGUGUUGGGCUGUCCCUGGCUGACGUCUCCAAAGUGCACAGAGCACUGCCUCCCUUUUCUGUGGAAGAUUGCUGGACCACACGGUGACUCGAGGUGACUUUGAGGAACUGCGGCUGGUUCUCCAAGCGGCAGGCAGUGCAGGAGGCUUCCAGUUUCCCUGGCGCCAAGGGUUUCACUGUGUGGCCCAGGCUGGCCUCGACCUAGCGGUGAUCCUCCUGCCUCCGCCUUCCACAUGCUGGGAUCACAGGUGUGGGCCACCAUGCCAGCCCUUCUUCCUCCUCUUCCUCCUCCUCCGAGCCUCUCCCUCGAACCUGCUGGAAAUGGCGUAGAUGACGAUGAUGAGGUUGCGCUAGCAGCUCCUCAGCACACGUUCCCAACACUUGUCCAGCACUGGCUCAUUUCUUACUCAGGACCCCGGGAGGCAGGACUGAGUUUCCCUUUGUUCAGAAGAAGAAACAGGCCUGGAGAGGCGGCAUCUGGGGUGGGUCCCCAGGUCCCCAGGGGUGGAUCGCACCCACCUCACCGCAGCCCGAGCCCG